UACAGAGGGUGCAAGCGUUAAUCGGAUUACUGGGCGUAAAGCGUGCGUAGACGGUUAUGUAAGUCAGAUGUGAAAGCCCCGGGCUCAACCCUGGGAAUUGCAUUCGAGACUGAAUAGCUAGGGUACGGUAGAGGGAAGUGGAAUUCCUGGUGUAGCGGUGAAAUGCGCAGAUAUCAGGAGGAACACCGGUGGCGAAGGCGGGUCUCUGGGCCGAUACUGACGCUGAGGAGCCGAAAGCGUGGGGAGCGAACAGGAUUAG
rnacentral:rRNA from 1 species